GCGCUCGUAGCUCAGUAGGAUAGAGCACAAGAUUCCUAAUCUUGGUGCCGUGGGUUCAAAUCCCGCCGGGCGCACCA
rnacentral:tRNA from 1 species